ACUCCUACGGGAGGCAGCAGUGGGGAAUAUUGCACAAUGGGCGCAAGCCUGAUGCAGCCAUGCCGCGUGUAUGAAGAAGGCCUUCGGGUUGUAAAGUACUUUCAGCAGUGAGGAAGGCAGGUACGUUAAUAGCGUGCUUGUUUGACGUUAGCUGCAGAAGAAGCACCGGCUAACUCCGUGCCAGCAGCCGCGGUAAUACGGAGGGUGCGAGCGUUAAUCGGAAUUACUGGGCGUAAAGCGCAUGCAGGUGGUUUGUUAAGUCAGAUGUGAAAGCCCGGGGCUCAACCUCGGAAUUGCAUUUGAAACUGGCAGACUAGAGUACUGUAGAGGGGGGUAGAAUUUCAGGUGUAGCGGUGAAAUGCGUAGAGAUCUGAAGGAAUACCGGUGGCGAAGGCGGCCCCCUGGACAGAUACUGACACUCAGAUGCG
rnacentral:rRNA from 1 species